UACGUAGGGUCCGAGCGUUUGUCCGGAAUUAUUGGGCGUAAAGGGCUCGUAGGCGGUCUGUCGCGUCGGGAGUGAAAACUUACAGCUUAACUGUGAGCGUGCUUCCGAUGACGGGCAGACUUGAGGUAUUCAGGGGAGAACGGAAUUCCUGGUGUAGCGGUGAAAUGCGCAGAUAUCAGGAAGAACACCCGUGGCUAAGGCGGCUCUCUAGUACGGUACUGACGCUGAGACGCGAAACGUGGGAGGCGAACAGGAUAGAUACCGU
rnacentral:rRNA from 1 species